rnacentral:rRNA from 1 species
GUUGAACGCUGGCGGCGCGCCUAACACAUGCAAGUCGAACGAGCGAGAGAGAGCUUGCUUUCUCAAGCGAGUGGCGAACGGGUGAGUAACGCGUGAGGAACCUGCCUCAAAGAGGGGGACAACAGUUGGAAACGACUGCUAAUACCGCAUAAGCCCACGGGUCGGCAUCGACCAGAGGGAAAAGGAGCAAUCCGCUUUGAGAUGGCCUCGCGUCCGAUUAGCUAGUUGGUGAGGUAACGGCCCACCAAGGCGACGAUCGGUAGCCGGACUGAGAGGUUGAACGGCCACAUUGGGACUGAGACACGGCCCAGACUCCUACGGGAGGCAGCAGUGGGGAAUAUUGCACAAUGGGGGAAACCCUGAUGCAGCGACGCCGCGUGGAGGAAGAAGGUCUUCGGAUUGUAAACUCCUGUUGUUGAGGAAGAUAAUGACGGUACUCAACAAGGAAGUGACGGCUAACUACGUGCCAGCAGCCGCGGUAAAACGUAGGUCACAAGCGUUGUCCGGAAUUACUGGGUGUAAAGGGAGCGCAGGCGGGAGAACAAGUUGGAAGUGAAAUCCAGGGGCUCAGCCCAUGAACUGCUUUCAAAACUGUUUUUCUUGAGUAGUGCAGAGGUAGGCGGAAUUCCCGGUGUAGCGGUGGAAUGCGUAGAUAUCGGGAGGAACACCAGUGGCGAAGGCGGCUUACUGGGCACCAACUGACGCUGAGGCUCGAAAGUGUGGGUAGCAAACAGGAUUAGAUACCCUGGUAGUCCACACCGUAAACGAUGAUUACUAGGUGUUGGAGGAUUGACCCCUUCAGUGCCGCAGUUAACACAAUAAGUAAUCCACCUGGGGAGUACGACCGCAAGGUUGAAACUCAAAGGAAUUGACGGGGGCCCGCACAAGCAGUGGAGUAUGUGGUUUAAUUCGACGCAACGCGAAGAACCUUACCAAGUCUUGACAUCCCUUGACGAUGCUGGAAACAGUAUUUCUCUUCGGAGCAAGGAGACAGGUGGUGCAUGGUUGUCGUCAGCUCGUGUCGUGAGAUGUUGGGUUAAGUCCCGCAACGAGCGCAACCCUUAUGGUCAGUUACUACGCAAGAGGACUCUGGCCAGACUGCCGUUGACAAAACGGAGGAAGGUGGGGAUGACGUCAAAUCAUCAUGCCCUUUAUGACUUGGGCUACACACGUACUACAAUGGCGUUAAACAAAGAGAAGCAAGACCGCGAGGUGGAGCAAAACUCAGAAACAACGUCCCAGUUCGGACUGCAGGCUGCAACUCGCCUGCACGAAGUCGGAAUUGCUAGUAAUCGUGGAUCAGCAUGCCACGGUGAAUACGUUCCCGGGCCUUGUACACACCGCC